AUUGAACGCUGGCGGCAUGCCUUACACAUGCAAGUCGAACGGCAGCGGGGGAGAAGCUUGCUUUUCCUGCCGGCGAGUGGCGAACGGGUGAGUAAUACAUCGGAACGUGCCCUGUAGUGGGGGAUAACUAGUCGAAAGAUUAGCUAAUAACGCAUACGACCUGAGGGGGAAAGUGGGGGACCGCAAGGCCUCAUGCUAUAGGAGCGGCCGAUGUCUGAUUAGCUGGUUGGUGGGGUAAAGGCCUACCAAGGCGACGAUCAGUAGCUGGUCUGAGAGGACGAUCAGCCACACCGAGACUGAGACACGGCCCAGACUCCUACGGGAGGAAGCAGUGGGGAAUUUUGGACAAUGGGCGAAAGCCUGAGCCAGCAAUGCCGCGUGUGUGAAGAAGGCCUUCGGGUUGUAAAGCACUUUUGUCCGGAAAGAAAUGGCUCUGGUUAAUACCUGGGGUCGAUGACGGUACCGGAAGAAUAAGGACCGGCUAACUACGUGCCAGCCGCCGCUGUAA
rnacentral:rRNA from 1 species